GGAUUAGGCAUGCAAGUCGAACGAAUCCCCGGAGCUUGCUCCGGGGGGAAGUGGCGAAAGGGGCAGUAAUGCGUGGGUAACCUACCCUGGGGACGAGGAUAGCCGUUCUAACGGACGGGUAAUACUCGGCGAUUCGGCGACGGGACAUCCCGAUGCCGGGAAAUGAGUUUCGCCUCGGGAGGGGCUCACGUGAUAUUAGCUUGUUGGUGAGGUAACGGCUCACCAAGGCGAAGAUGUCUAGCGGGUGUGAGAGCACGACCCGCGCCACUGGCACUGAGACACUGGCCAGACUCCUACGGGAGGCUGCAGUCGAGGAUCUUCGGCAAUGGGCGCAAGCCUGACCGAGCGACGCCGCGUGUGCGAUGAAGGCCUUCGGGUUGUAAAGCACUGUCGAGGGGGAGGAAGCCGCAAGGUUGACCUAUCCCUGGAGGAAGCACGGGCUAAGUUCGUGCCAGCAGCCGCGGUAAGACAAACCGUGCGAACGUUAUUCGGAAUCACUGGGCUUAAAGGGCGCGUAGGCGGGCGGGCAAGUCUGCGGUGAAAGCCUCCAGCUCAACUGGAGAAGUGCCGUGGAUAAUGCUGGUCUCGAGGAGGGUAGGGGCAUCUGGAACGUUGGGUGGAGCGGUGAAAUGCGUUGAUAUCCAACGGAACUCCGGUGGCGAAGGCGAGGUGCUGGACCCUUUCUGACGCUGAGGCGCGAAAGCCAGGGGAGCGAACGGGAUUAGAUACCCCGGUAGUCCUGGCCCUAAACGUUGAGAACUAGGUAGUGGACUUAACAUGGGUUCACUGUCGAAGCAAAAGUGCUAAGUUCUCCGCCUGGGGAGUAUGGUCGCAAGGC
rnacentral:rRNA from 1 species